rnacentral:rRNA from 1 species
GAUGAACGCUGGCGGCGUGCCUAAUACAUGCAAGUCGAGCGAACGGACGAGAAGCUUGCUUCUCUGAUGUUAGCGGCGGACGGGUGAGUAACACGUGGAUAACCUACCUAUAAGACUGGGAUAACUUCGGGAAACCGGAGCUAAUACCGGAUAAUAUUUUGAACCGCAUGGUUCAAAAGUGAAAGACGGUCUUGCUGUCACUUAUAGAUGGAUCCGCGCUGCAUUAGCUAGUUGGUAAGGUAACGGCUUACCAAGGCAACGAUGCAUAGCCGACCUGAGAGGGUGAUCGGCCAGACUGGAACUGAGACACGGUCCAGACUCCAACGGGAGGCAGCAGUAGGGAAUCUUCCGAAAGGGGCGAAAGCCUGACGGAGCAACGCCGCGUGAGUGAUGAAGGUCUUCGGAUCGUAAAACUCUGUUAUUAGGGAAGAACAUAUGUGUAAGUAACUGUGCACAUCUUGACGGUACCUAAUCAGAAAGCCACGGCUAACUACGUG